CCCGAGAAACGGCUACCACUUCCAAGGAAGGCAGCAGGCGCGCAACUUACCCUAAUCUCGAUUCGAGGAGGUAGUGACAAGAAAUACCGAUGCGGGACCCUACGGGUGACCGCGUUCGGAAUGAGUACGAUUCGAACCACCUAACGAGGAACGAUCGGAGGGCAAAGUCUGGUGCCAGCAGCCGCGGUAAUUCCAGCUCCAAUAGCGUACGUUAAAGUUGCUGCAGUUAAAAAGCUCGUAGUUGAACGUUCGGGUUCCGCGGGGACGGGGCCGCCCCGCGAGGGACGGCGCCGCCCCGGGGCUCGUGAUAUCUCAUCUCGCCGCCCGUCGCGAGGCGGACGGAGGGAUGGAUGAGGUUACCUGGAAAAAAUCGGGGCGAUCUAGGCGGCGAACCUCGCCAACGAACGAUCGGACAUGGGAUAACGGAAGAGGGCGUCGGCUCGACUU
rnacentral:rRNA from 1 species